GAGGGGCACACCUCCUCCCCACUCCCCCAGCUCUGCAGAUUCUUCGAGACACUUUCACAGGCGGAAAUUCCCAGAGGUGUGGAGGCAAGUGCCCUGUAAUUCUGCAGCUCAUCUCCUCUGCCGUGGCCUGAUUCUAUGGGUCGGACCUCUACCUGCUUCCUCCCACAGGGCUGGAAGCCCAGACAUGGUCUACCCCACUUCCCUUGCCAGAUCCUCUGGCCUCUCUUCCCAGCCCAGGACCUGAAUUGCCUAGAUCGCAGCUCCCAGAAGGAGAGAGCUGCAGAGACGUCAGAUGGAGGCCAUAGAGUGAGAUGCUGAAUGUAAGAGGAGAACUUGGUAGCUGACACAAAGCUCCAUCCAGGAUCCAGUCCCUUCUCCACAAGAUUCAGCAUCAGUCAGCAGUGAUCCCAUGACCACUGGGAACCAAACGCUGUCCUAGGCCUUCCUUGUGCUCCCUCUCCAUCUCCAGCCAAAGUGGGUCGAGCUGAGGGACAGGGAGGUGAUCUGGAAAGAGCAAGUGCAACUCUCUGCUCUGCCGUGUAUCAGCUGUCUGUUUAAUCACAUCCUCAGAACCUCAACUUCUUCACCUAUAAAAUGUAAAUAAAUAGAACAGACCUUGAGAGACCCAAGUGAAGCUUCAAGGAGAGAGGGCAGCGCAUCUACAAAAUCAGCCCAGGGCCUGCCCGCUGAGCACUUCCUGUCGGCUUGCUUCUCUUCCACUUUCUCUGAGCCUCAUUCCUCUGGGACCCCAUGACCCCUGUCGUGGCUCUGCCCUCAAAAACCCCUCUCAUCUCUCGGGGAAUCAGAGUGGAGUCAGAAGAAAGAGGCUUAAUUGAGAAGGUUUUUCUGGUUUCUCAAAAGACCACGAUUCUGGGGAAGAGAGGCUCAGGAUGGGUAUGAGAGAGGAAGCCCUCAGGCAUAUAGAAUAUGGCCGCAGAGGGACAGGAGUGUUACCUUGGGGGGG
rnacentral:lncRNA from 1 species